rnacentral:rRNA from 1 species
GACGAACGCUGGCGGCGUGCCUAAUACAUGCAAGUAGAACGCUGAAGGAGGAGCUUGCUUCUCUGGAUGAGUUGCGAACGGGUGAGUAACGCGUAGGUAACCUGCCUGGUAGCGGGGGAUAACUAUUGGAAACGAUAGCUAAUACCGCAUAAUAGUAGAUGUUGCAUGACAUUUGCUUAAAAGGUGCAAUUGCAUCACUACCAGAUGGACCUGCGUUGUAUUAGCUAGUUGGUGAGGUAACGGCUCACCAAGGCGACGAUACAUAGCCGACCUGAGAGGGUGAGCGGCCACACUGGGACUGAGACACGGCCCAGACUCCUACGGGAGGCAGCAGUAGGGAAUCUUCGGCAAUGGACGGAAGUCUGACCGAGCAACGCCGCGGGAGGGAAGAAGGUUUUCGGGUCGUAAAGCUCUGUUGUAAGAGAAGAACGAGUGUGAGAGUGGAAAGUUCACACUGUGACGGUAUCUUACCAGAAAGGGACGGCUAACUACGUG